rnacentral:rRNA from 1 species
AUUGAACGCUGGCGGCAGGCUUAACACAUGCAAGUCGAGCGGAGAGAGGUAGCUUGCUACUGAUCUUAGCGGCGGACGGGUGAGUAAUUCUUAGGAAUCUGCCUAUUAGUGGGGGACAACAUUUCGAAAGGAAUGCUAAUACCGCAUACGUCCUACGGGAGACAGCAGGGGAUCUUCGGACCUUGCGCUAAUAGAUGAGCCGAAGUCGGAGUAGCUGGUUGGUGGGGUAAAGGCCGACCAAGGCGACGAUCUGUAGCGGGUCUGAGCGGAUGAUCCGCCACACUGGGACUGAGACACGGCCCAGACUCCUACGGGAGGCAGCAGUGGGGAAUAUUGGACAAUGGGCGGAAGCCUGAUCCAGCCAUGCCGCGUGUGUGAAGAAGGCCUUAUGGUUGUAAAGCACUUUAAGCGAGGAGGAGGCUACUUUAGUUAAUACCUAGAGAUAGUGGACGUUACUCGCAGAAUAAGCACCGGCUAACUCUGUGCCAGCCGCCGCGGUAACAC